rnacentral:ncRNA from 1 species
AUGUGGAGUAUAAGCUGGCAGUGCCGCCGCGGCACGGGUCAUUGCUCCGGGA